CAGUCGUACCGGCGGAUAAUCAGCCUUUCGGGUGCGAUUCUGUGGGGCGUGAGGAGCUUAACCGCCUUCAUGUUUUGCAUAUUCGUGCACAUUUGGUGUACUUGUCCGUGUGGUGGGUUAACAUCAAUUUUGGUGGUCAUAAAAUGGCUGGAGGAAUGUAGCCUCGAUCUUGUAUUGAAGUGUUAUAGACUCUGGUAGAUGUGACG
rnacentral:rRNA from 1 species